GGGUAGCGUCGUGUGGCGGGUGAAGCGGCGGGGUGACCCAGUCGUGGACGCCACACGAGUGAGAAUGCAGGCAUGAGUAGCGAAAGACGGGUGAGAAACCCGUCCGCCGAAUGACCAAGGGUUCCAGGGCCAGGCUAAUCCGCCCUGGGUAAGUCGGGACCUAAGGCGAGGCCGACAGGCGUAGUCGAUGGACAACGGGUUGAUAUUCCCGUACCGGCGAAGAACCGCCCAAGACAAUCCAGUAGUGCUAAGUAUCUGAAUCCCUUUGAUGGAUCCCUUCGGGGUGAAGCGUUGGGCCUAGCGUACGACCCCGUGCUGGUGCGUUUAGCGUAUUAACAGGUGUGACGCAGGAAGGUAGCCGAGCCGGGCGAUGGUUGUCCCGGUCUAAGGAUGUAGGGCGAACGAUAGGCAAAUCCGUCGUUCACAUAGCCUGAGAUCUGAUGGGUAGACGCAAGUCGAAAUCGGUGAUCCUAUGCUGCCAAGAAAAGCAUCGACGCGAGGUUCUAGCUGCCCGUACCCCAAACCGACUCAGGUGGUCAGGUAGAGAAUACUAAGGAGAUCGAGAGAAUCGUGGUUAAGGAACUCGGCAAAAUGCCCCCGUAACUUCGGGAGAAGGGGGGCCUGAGGCGUGAACGGACUUGCUCCGGGAGCGUUCGAUGGCCGCAGAGACCAGUGGGAAGCGACUGUUUACUAAAAACACAGGUCCAUGCGAAGUCGCAAGACGAUGUAUACGGACUGACGCCUGCCCGGUGCUGGAACGUUAAGGGGACCGGUUAGCCCGUAAGGGCGAAGCUGAGAACUUAAGCGCCAGUAAACGGCGGUGGUAACUAUAACCAUCCUAAGGUAGCGAAAUUCCUUGUCGGGUAAGUUCCGACCU
rnacentral:rRNA from 11 species